rnacentral:rRNA from 1 species
ACUCAAAUGAAUUGACGGGGGCCCGCACAAGCAGUGGAGCAUGUGGUUCAAUUCGAUGCAACGCGAAGAACCUUACCUGGGUUUGAAAGGCAAGUGACAGGCGAUGAAAGUCGCCCUGGUAGCAAUACCCACUUGUACAGGUGCUGCAUGGCUGUCGUCAGCUCGUGCCGUGAGGUGUUAGGUUAAGUCCUGCAACGAGCGCAACCCCUGCACUUAGUUGCCAUCAGGUAAUGCUGGGCACUCUAAGUGGACUGCCUACGCAAGUAGUGAGGAAGGUGGGGAUGACGUCAAGUCCUCAUGGCCCUUACACCCAGGGCCACACACGUGCUACAAUGGCCACUACAAAGGGUCGCUAAGGCGCAAGCCGGAGCCAAUCCCAAAAAAGUGGUCUCAGUUCGAAUUGGGGUCUGCAACUCGACCCCAUGAAGCUGGAAUUGCUAGUAAUCGCGUAUCAGCACGACGCGGUGAAUACGUUCCCGGGCCUUGCACACACCGCCCGU